UACGUAGGUGACAAGCGUUAUCCGGAUUUAUUGGGCGUAAAGCGCACGCAGGCGGUCUAUCAAGUCUGACGUGAAAUCUCUCGGCUUAACCGGGAGCGGUCGUGGAAACUGAUGGACUUGAGGCGAUGAGAGGGGUGUGGAAUUCCCGGUGUAGUGGUGGAAUGCGUAGAUAUCGGGGAGGAACAUCAGUGGCGAAAGCGGCACCCUGGCAUUAGCCUGACGCUCAUGUGCGAAAGCGUGGGGAGCGAACGGG
rnacentral:rRNA from 1 species